rnacentral:rRNA from 1 species
AUUGAACGCUGGCGGCAGGCCUAACACAUGCAAGUCGAGCGAGCGGCGGACGGGUGAGUAAUGUAUGGGGACUGCCCGAUAGAGGGGGAUAACUACUGGAAACGGUGGCUAAUACCGCAUACUAUCGGAUAACCCAUAUGGGAUUAUCUAGUAGGUGGGGUAAAGGCUCACCUAGGCGACGAUCUCUAGCUGGUCUGAGAGGCUGAUCAGCCACACUGUGACUGAGACACGGCCCAGACUCCUACGGAGGCAGCAGUGGGGAAUAUUGCACAAGGGGCGCAAUCCUGAUGCAGCCAUGCCGCGUGUAUGAAGAAGGCCUUCGGGUUGGAAAGUACUUUCAGCGAGGAGGCGUUACCCGCAGAAGAAGCACCGGCUAACUCCGUGCCAGCAGCCGCGGUAAUAC